rnacentral:rRNA from 1 species
UAACGCGAAAGAACCUUACCAGGCCUUGACAUCCAAUGAACUUUCGAGAGAUAGAUUGGUGCCUUCGGGAACAUUGACACAGGUGCUGCAUGGCUGUCCUCAGCUCGUGUCGUGAGAUGUUGGGUUAAGUCCCGUAACGAGCGCAACCCUUGUCCUUAGUUACCAGCACGUAAUGGUGGGCACUCUAAGGAGACUGCCGGUGACAAACCGGAGGAAGGUGGGGAUGACGUCAAGUCAUCAUGGCCCUUACGGCCUGGGCUACACACGUGCUACAAUGGUCGGUACAGAGGGUGCCAAGCCGCGAGGUGGAGCUAAUCCCAAAAACCGAUCGUAGUCCGGAUCGCAGUCUGCAAUUGACUCCGGAAGUCGGAAUCGCUAGUAAUCGCGAAUCAGAAUGUCGCGGUGAAUACGUUCCCGGGUCUUGUACACACCGA